AUGAAGUUUAGAGACGUGCAACUCAAUCGGAGCCAAGCCUCAAGGAGAGAGAUAGGAAUCCUACCCUUGUCUGGGGAACAAUCCUCCAUGACACAGUGGGUUGUACCAAUAUACGACUAUGUGACGCUUAUCUCGCCGAUUCCAAGCCUCAGUAUAUGCAGCACACGAAAAAAAUAUGCUAUUGCAACGAACGAUGAAUAUAUCUAG